GUUUGGUAGUAGCUAUAUGACUUAAAAAUAUGAACCCAUCUCUCUCUUUUUUUCCUUCUCUCUAAAUUUUGAAAUUUUAAAAAAUUAAACUUCAAGUUUGACACUAAUUAUCUAACCAUUAUUAUUACUCGCUCUCUCUUUCUCCACAAUCUCCCCCCUAUUUCUUUCUAUUAACACUGACUCAUCUAUCUAUCUAUUGUUAUUACUCGAUAUUAUCCCUCGCCCAGUCUUUGUAUCUAUAAAUACCUUCUUUCAACUUUAUCCAAUCAAUUUAGCGCAGAAACA
rnacentral:misc_RNA from 1 species